UGCAUCCUACGGGACGCAGCAGUGAGGAAUAUUGGUCAAUGGCCGCAGGGCUGAACCAGCCAAGUCGCGUGAGGGAUGACGGUCCUAUGGAUUGUAAACCUCUUUUGUCAGGGAGCAAAGGGCGCCACGUGUGGCGUUCUGCGAGUACCUGAAGAAAAAGCAUCGGCUAACUCCGUGCCAGCAGCCGCGGUAAUACGGAGGAUGCGAGCGUUAUCCGGAUUUAUUGGGUUUAAAGGGUGCGUAGGCGGAGUGUCAAGUCAGCGGUAAAAUUUCGGGGCUCAACCCCGUCGUGCCGUUGAAACUGA
rnacentral:rRNA from 1 species